rnacentral:rRNA from 1 species
CCUACGGGUGGCAGCAGUCGAGAAUCAUUCACAAUGGGGGAAACCCCGAUGGUGCGACGCCGCGUGGGGGAAUGAAGGUCUUCGGAUUGUAAACCCCUGUCAUGUGGGAGCAAAUUAAAAAGAUAGUACCACAAGAGGAAGAGACGGCUAACUCUGUGCCAGCAGCCGCGGUAAUACAGAGGUCUCAAGCGUUGUUCGGAAUCACUGGGCGUAAAGCGUGCGUAGGCUGUUUCGUAAGUCGUGUGUGAAAGGGGCGGGCUCAACCCGCGGACGGCACAUGAUACUGCGAGACUAGAGUAAUGGAGGGGGAACCGGAAUUCUCGGUGUAGCAGUGAAAUGCGUAGAUAUCGAGAGGAACACUCGUGGCGAAGGCGGGUUCCUGGACAUUAACUGACGCUGAGGCACGAAGGCCAGGGGAGCGAAAGGGAUUAGAUACCCUAGUAGUC